rnacentral:rRNA from 1 species
GAUGAACGCCGGCGGCGUGCCUAAUACGUGCAAGUCGAGCGAACGGACGAGAAGCUUGCUUCUCUGAUGUUAGCGGCGGACGGGUGAGUAACACGUGGAUAACCUACCUAUAAGACUGGGAUAACUUCGGGAAACCGGAGCUAAUACCGGAUAAUAUUUUGAACCGCAUGGUUCAAAAGUGAAAGACGGUCUUGCUGUCACUUAUAGAUGGAUCCGCGCUGCAUUAGCUAGUUGGUAAGGUAACGGCUUACCAAGGCAACGAUGCAUAGCCGACCUGAGAGGGUGAUCGGCCACACUGGAACUGAAACACGGUCCAGACUCCUACGGGAGGCAGCAGUAGGGAAUCUUCCGCAAUGGGCGAAAGCCUGACGGAGCAACGCCGCGUGAGUGAUGAAGGUCUUCGGAUCGUAAAACUCUGUUAUUAGGGAAGAACAUAUGUGUAAGUAACUGUGCACAUCUUGACGGUACCUAAUCAGAAAGCCACGGCUAACUACGUG